GAUGAACGCUGGCGGCGUGCCUAAUACAUGCAAGUAGAGCGAACAGACGAGGAGCUUGCUCCUCAGACGUUAACGGCGGACGGGUGAGUAACACGUGGAUAACCUACCUAUAAGACUGGGAUAACUUCGGGAAACCGGAGCUAAUAACGGAUAAUAUAUUGAACUGCAUGGUUCAAUAGUGAAUGACGGUUUUGCUGUAACUUAUAGCUGGAUCCGCGUCGCAUUAGCUAUUUGGUAAGGUAACGGCUAACCAAGGCGACGAUGCGUAGCCGACCUGAGAGGGUGAUCGGCCACACUGGACCUGGGACAGGGUCCAGACUCCUACGGGGGGCAGCAUUAGGGAAUCUUCCGCAAUGGGGGAAAGCCGGACGGAGCAACGCCGCGGGGGGGAUGAAGGUCUUCGGAUCGUAAAACUCUGUUAAUAGGGAGGAACAAAGGUGUAAUUAACUAUGCACGUCUUGACGGUACCUAAUCAGAAAGCCACGGCUAACUACGUG
rnacentral:rRNA from 1 species